AGCUCUGGACCCCGAGUUGUCCCUGGAGAAAGAGAGGGACAACAUGGCGAACCCCAGGAGGGUGGUGUCCAGUAAAUGCCACCGAUGAUGAUGCUGAUGAUGAUGAAGGCAAGGGACGGUGUAGAAAGGACAGGGGAGCUCCAUGCUGCACUGAUGUUUCCACUGGACCCGGGCUCCUUUACCCGCCAUCAUCAGGAACACACAGAGCUUCUUCUUCAAUGAG